AGAGUUUGAUCAUGGCUCAGAUUGAACGCUGGCGGCAUGCCUUACACAUGCAAGUCGAACGGCAGCACGGGAGCAAUCCUGGUGGCGAGUGGCGAACGGGUGAGUAAUACAUCGGAACGUGCCCAGUUGUGGGGGAUAGCCCGGCGAAAGCCGGAUUAAUACCGCAUACGACCUGAGGGUGAAAGCGGGGGAUCGCAAGACCUCGCGCAAUUGGAGCGGCCGAUGUCAGAUUAGCUAGUUGGCGGGGUAAGAGCCCACCAAGGCGACGAUCUGUAGCUGGUCUGAGAGGACGACCAGCCACACUGGGACUGAGACACGGCCCAGACUCCUACGGGAGGCAGCAGUGGGGAAUUUUGGACAAUGGGCGCAAGCCUGAUCCAGCCAUGCCGCGUGUGGGAAGAAGGCCUUCGGGUUGUAAACCACUUUUGUCAGGGAAGAAACGGCUCUUACUAAUAUUAGGAACUAAUGACGGUACCGAAGAAUAGAC
rnacentral:rRNA from 1 species